rnacentral:rRNA from 1 species
AUUGAACGCUGGCGGCAGGCCUAACACAUGCAAGUCGGGCGAGCGGCGGACGGGUGAGUAAUGUAUGGGGAUCUGCCCGAUAGAGGGGGCUAACUACUGUAAACGGUGGCUAAUACCGCAUACUAUCGGAUGAACCCAUAUGGGAUUAGGUAGUUGGUGAGGUAAAGGCUCACCAACCGACGAUCGCUAGCUGGUCUGAGAGGAUGACCAGCCACACUGGGACUGAGACACGGCCCAGACUCCUACGGGAGGCAGCAGUGGGGAAUAUUGCGCAAUGGGGGCAACCCUGACGCAGCCAUGCCGCGUGAAUGAAGAAGGCCUUCGGGUGGUAAAGUUCUUUCGGUAGCGAGGCGUUAACUACAGAAGAAGCACCGGCUAACUCCGUGCCAGCAGCCGCGGUAAUAC